rnacentral:rRNA from 1 species
AACGCUAGCUACAGGCUUAACACAUGCAGGUCGAGGGGUAGCACGGCAGGAAGCUUGCUUCCUUGGGUGACGACCGGCGCACGGGUGAGUAACGCGUAUCCGACCUACCCAUAACACGGGCACAGCCGCUCGAAAGAGUGAUUGAUUCCCGAUAUGUUAUAUAAGUAGAUUAUAUAAUGAAAGAUUUAUCGGUUAUGGAUGGGGAUGCGUAAGAUUAGGUAGUAGGCGGGGUAACGGCCCACCUAGCCGACGAUCUUUAGGGGUUCUGAGAGGAAGGUCCCCCACACUGGUACUGAGACACGGACCAGACUCCUACGGGAGGCAGCAGUGAGGAAUAUUGGUCAAUGGGCGGAAGCCUGAACCAGCCAAGUAGCGUGAAGGAUUACAGCCCUACGGGUUUUAAACUUCUUUUAUAUAAGAGUAAUGUGCACUACGUGUAGUGUAUUGCAAGUAUUAUAUGAAUAAGCAUCGGCUAACUCCGUGCCAGCAGCCGCGGUAAUACGGAGGAUGCGAGCGUUAUCCGGAUUUAUUGGGUUUAAAGGGAGCGUAGGCGGGAUAUUAAGUCAGUCGUCAAAGCCUGUGGCUCAACCACAGCCCGCGAUUGAUACUGGUAACCUUGAGUGCGGAUGAGGUGGAUGGAAUUCGUGGUGUAGCGGUGAAAUGCUUAGAUAUCACGAAGAACUCCGAUUG